rnacentral:tRNA from 1 species
GCUCAAUUGGUAAAGCACAAGGCUCUAAACCUUGUGGACGUGGAUUCAAGUCCCAU